GUCCCUGUAGCGCAAUCGAUAGUGCGUUGGGCUUCUAAUCCAAAGGUUGUACGUUCGAAUCCUAUCUGGGAUG